GUCUGACAAGGUGUCGUUCUUCUUGUCUCUGUUUAUUGAAGAGUGAGGAUCUUAGCUGUCCCGUGACACUUCCUACGGCUGCCAUAGGCUCUCAGAAGGCGGGAAAAAGCUGAAUGAUGUAAUUCCAGCCACUGGCUGAAAAACAUUAGCGCUUUUGGCAAGUGCUCUAUCAGAGGACAAUGGGCUGAGGCGCGUGCACGAGUCGACCCCAUGUUUUUAUUUUCUUUCGUCUUUGAACCUAAACACAGAUUCCCGGUCGGAAUAUUAUCGCUUUUUUACAAGAAAAAUGGCAUAAAAAUUGAUUUUAAACAGCGGUUGACAUGCUUCGAAGUACGGUAAUGGAAUAUUUAGAAUUUUUUGGUCACGAAAUGCGUUGUGCGCGUCACCCUUCUUUACCAUUCGGAUAGUGUCUUGAAUGCACAAACAAAACAGAGGAUAUUUGAACUUAACUAUGGAUUAUUUUGAACCAAACCAACAUUUGUUAUUGAAGUAGAAGUCCUGGGAGUGCAUUCUGACGAAGACAGCAAAGAUCAAUAAAGCAGAGGACCUGUCAGAGGUAAAGAACAAAUUGGAGGAAUUGGUAGACUGGCUGAGCCUACUGGGGCUGAAAAUGAUUGUUAUCAAGACAAUGGAGGACAGGGAUGGUGUGGUUGAAAUGGUGGCUCAACAAUUUGUCCAAGGGAGCAUGCAGAUGGCCUUGGAGUAGCAUUGGGAACCACCCGGACAGCUUCCGAGCACUUUUUGUGGACUCCGUAAAGCUUCCCACUGCCAGGGACCCGAGGGACCUGUUUAAAAUGGAGAAUGUCCACCUCUAACAGUGGCGAUGGUGUUGUCAUUUGCUACUGGGGCAACAGUGGUGACACCCCGACCAUCGAAUUCCUCCACACAGCACAUGGGAGUCUUGCUAGGCAGCAGAAGAAAAAGUACCCAGAGGCAAAAACAUGUGCUGUGACACUAAGGCUCCCUCUUCAUAGCACCCACAAUGCCUUUAGGGAUUUCAUGGUUUCUGGUAUUAUGAAUUCCCCACAUUUCGGUGUUGCAUAAAUACACCUUCGCGGAAAGUGACA
rnacentral:lncRNA from 1 species